rnacentral:lncRNA from 1 species
UGAAGGUUCAAGCCCAUCAAUCGAAAACUGAAUCAGAUAGCUGCUCAAAUGAAUCCAGUAGUGAAACUGAAGAGACUGAAAUCGGGUCACUUGUCAAGAAAUUUAAGAAAUUUCUGAAGAAGAAAGACAAUAAAUUCAGAAAGCCAUCUAGCUCCAAGACUAGUGACAACAAGACAAUUACAUGCUAUGAAUGUGGUAAAACUGGUCAUAUCAAG